AACGUCAUUUCGUCAUCUAAAGUUCUGAAUGUUACUAAUAAAAAGUAGUGAAGUAUGAUGUCUAAACCUGUGUAACAGUAAACAUAAAAUUUUUGUUGAUUAAAUAAAUCGAUGUGUGUUUAACAAAUAAACGUUUGACCUCAGGGCGCCAAAUAAUAAUUUUGCGUUCCUUUGGGGACACUUCCUGUCGUUUUGUACAUAUUAAUUCUCAAAGAUUGACUCCGUGUGGGGUUGGGCUUCGCCCCCGCUGCGGUUGCAGCUGGGUAACUCGCGUGGGCACAAGAGGAUGGGGGAGGGCGGGGGCUCGCCGGGCGGCGGCGCGCGGCUCUCGCACACAUCCGAGAAGCACCCGCGCGCCAUCCUCGGCGAGCUGUCGGCGCUGCGCCGCCACCGCGAGCUCUGUGAUGUUGUCCUCAAUGUUGCCAACAGAAAGCUCUUUGCACACAGGGUGAUCCUGUCGGCGUGCAGCCCGUACUUCCGCGCGAUGUUCACGGGCGAGCUGGCGGAGUCGCGCGCCACCGAGGUGACCAUCCGCGACGUGGACGAGCAGGCGAUGGAGCAG